rnacentral:rRNA from 1 species
AAUGAACGCUGGCGGCGCGCCUAAUACAUGCAAGUCGAGCGAGAAGACGUAGCAAUACGUUUGUAAAGCGGCGAACGGGUGAGGAAUACAUGGGUAACCUACCCUCGAGUGGGGAAUAACUAGCCGAAAGGUUAGCUAAUACCGCGUACGCUCCUUGGACUUCGGUUCAGGGAGGAAAGCGAUACCGUGGGUAUCGCGCUCUUGGUUGGGCUCAUGUCCUAUCAGCUUGUUGGUGAGGUAACGGCUCACCAAGGCUUCGACGGGUAGCUGGUCUGAGAGGACGAUCAGCCACACUGGCACUGCGACACGGGCCAGACUCCUACGGGAGGCAGCAGUAAGGAAUAUUGCGCAAUGGGCGAAAGCCUGACGCAGCGACGCCGCGUGGGGGAUGAAGGUCUUCGGAUUGUAAACCCCUUUCGGGAGGGAAGAUGGAACGAGCAAUCGUUCGGACGGUACCUCCAGAAGCAGCCACGGCUAACUUCGUGACAGCCGCCGCGGUAAC